ensembl:lncRNA
UUUCACCAAUGAAAAACAUUUCUCCUGAAAUAUUUUAAAUAUUUGUUUCCUAUUUCGCGGUAAACUUUGUCUGAACGGGCAGAGCUGUAGUUAAGUCGGUUUGUUGUCAAAGCUUUGAGGAUCCUAGUCAAUCUUAGUUUAGCUUACACUGCACUCGCCUCAUGAUGUACGGCUUUGGUAGGGAAUGAAAAUAGAAAUAAGAUGAAGGACGGACUGCAAAAGUGAUCGUAUGUCAGCCCUUUUAGACCUUUCAAUACAUUUAAAAACCCAUCUGUGAAGGAGGAAGACUAUUUUGUCCUGUUGGCUGCGGAGAUUGCUUAGGCUCCGGUUAUUUCAGUGGCUAUGCUAACUUGAGGCUCUGUAAUGUAACUGCUGCGCCAUUUAAGGUGGAACAGGAAAAUUUGAACAAGAAGCUGACUUCUUCACCCAGAGUUGAAAGACUUGAAAAGGGAUGAGGAUGUUGCUCUGUUUCUGUUUAACAGGGGGUUUGAAGCAGGAACUGCAAUGUGGGUUGAGUAUGUUAAGCCUGGGAGGUGUGGCAACCUACUUCUACUCCUGUUACCUAUGUUCUUCUGUAGAGUCAUACACCCUCAGCAGAAAGCCAGGUAAGUGCUAGUCUGGGUAGAAGUUGAUCUUUGACACUGUUACAGGAGCAGCUCCAUUUAUCCAAAUGUUCACCUUAGCCAUUUAAGUCAAAUGGCAAAACUGUUCUCAGAUCAACUAAGUCUGUAGUGUGCCUCCUGUGGGUCUGACUGUGUAACAACUCCCACCAAACCUCACACUCUCCAUUUUAAUAGCUUUAGACUACAGGGCUUUGCUUUACACGUUGAAUAGUGACUGGUGAAGGGUAAUUCUCACAACUAGACACAACACACUCCUCAAGUUGAUUGUUUUAUGGUUUUCUUGAUGUAUAUUUCUGUAGACACAAGGCCACUGGAAGUUAUGCUGGUGGCUGCAAUAUGGUCACAUCAAAAUGAACAUGAUAUGUUUGAAAACUGUUGGCUAAUUAAUUUGUAUACAUACUAAUACAAAACCUUUGCCAGUGCUUUACAUGCCUUUUCUUUAUUUUAUGUUACUGUAUCGCAGAUGUUACAAACUACUGAGUGAGAUAUCAAGGAAGACAGUCACAAUGAGCAGUUUUAUUUGUGUGUGAUCCGCAAGGGAGAGAUGGAGCUAAGUGCUGCUAGGGGGCUUGUGUGGGGUGGUUAUCCCUCCCUCCAGAUGUAAUAGUUUGAUCCCUCCAGGCCAGAGCUUUAAACUCUCAAAACAAAGUUCUGUAAUGCACUGACUGCAAACAAUUAAGAGUCGGAGUGUAUCACAGAACUUUACUUGGAAAGCCAGAGAAGAAGCACGCUAAUCCUCCUUCACUAUGGGACUUCUCAUCUUCUCACUGCCUUUAGAAUGAAACAGAGGGGUAAAGAGACAGGUUAGAUUUAUUUAUAAUAACCAUA